GUACACGCUGUGACUAGCAUAUCAAUAAGCGGAGGAAAAGAAACUAACAAGGAUUCCCUUAGUAACGGCGAGUGAAGCGGGAAGAGCUCAAAUUUGAAAUCUUCAAGGUUUUACCUUGACGAAUUGUAGUUUAAAGAAGUGUUUUCUGCUGAAGUUUUGGUAAAAGUUCUUUGGAAUAGGACAUCAUAGAGGGUGAGAAUCCCGUAUUUGACCAUUAUUUUCAGCUUUGUGAUACACUUUCAAAGAGUCGGAUUGUUUGGGAAUGCAGUCCAAAAUGGGUGGUAAAUUUCAUCUAAAGCUAAAUAUUGGCGAGAGACCGAUAGCGAACAAGUACCGUGAGGGAAAGAUGAAAAGAACUUUGAAAAGAGAGUUAAACAGUACGUGAAAUUGUCAAAAGGGAAGCGUUUGACACCAGUGUUGUUUUCUCGAAAAUCAAUUAAAAAUGGCUCGAUUUUGUAUUGCUGAGACCUUAAAAGCUCACUGUACAUUUUUCGUGUCUUUUUUAAUGCACUUUUCGUUUAACAAGUCAACAUCAGUUUCUUUUGUUGUAAAAGGGUCAUUGGAAGGUGGCUUUCUUCUCGGAGAAAGUGUUUAUAGCCUUUGGCCUCUGCAAUCGGAGAGACCGAGGUCUGCAGCGUAGACUCUUCGGGGUUAGAUACAUUUGUGCUAAGUUAUAGCUUUUUAUAGACAACUUGUUGACUAUAAUUAGUCUUGUAGCUUACUCGCUUAUGCUAUUUUACCUACGCUUAGGAUGUUGAGUAGCGACAUACGCAC
rnacentral:rRNA from 1 species